rnacentral:rRNA from 1 species
UUGUUGCACCAGAAGUAGGUAGUCUAACCGCAAGGAGGACGCUUACCACGGUGUGGCCGAUGACUGGGGUGAAGUCGUAACAAGGUAGCCGUAGGGGAACCUGCGGCUGGAUCACCUCCUUAA